AAUGUGCUGGGAUUAUAACUGGAAGGCAGGCCUUUAGCUAGAGUCUCUAGAAUAUUCAGGAGGAGCUAAAAGGAUAUAUAUAUUUUAAAAAGCACUUGAAAAUGCCAAGGCAUGCUUCCUGACGGCCCAGAGAGCAUUGUCAUCCCAGUCACACACACCACAGCGGUGGUGCCUCCCUGUGGGGAUGCAGGAAACCAUCGGAGGCCACCACCCUGCCCAGAGUGCCCCGGGGUCUGGUUCUAUAAGCCAUCUCAGGCAACUUUUAAGCAUUUACUUACAUGAAACAAUCUCAUAUCCUACGACCACUGCUAUCUUUUGGUCAAUUAUGAUCACCAUUCUGACAACUGCCCACCUCCAUUCAUUACCCCUCUCCCAUCUCCAGGCAAAAUGAAAUCGCUUUCAGCAGAUGAAUGUUCAUUGUCUUCUAGGUGCGCAGCCUGGCAAAGCUUCAUCCAUGCUGGCUUAAAGGCUUAAAGGAAAAGAUUCAUUUAGCCCAGGUCUACACUUCAAAAAUGGUUUUCCACAUCCGAGGCAUGAGAAUGGAUCUGUAACAUUAUACCUCUAUUCCAAGAAUAUGCAAAUCUCUGGCUGACUCCAACUCGCCUUCACAUUCCUGACUCACAUCUUGAAAUGCCAGUAGGAUGCCUUCCAGCUUCUCCUGGGUCGUAAUUUCAACACAUCCCAAGCUGAAACCAGAGUCCUGUCAAAGCUGUACUCACUGUUCUCCCCAUUUCCCUUGGCAUCACCACCAUCCCCCAUGCAUUCAGGCUUAAAACCUGCUUCUCAGCUGCCUGGGUGGCUCAGGUGUUAAGCAUCUGCCUUCGGCUCAGGUCAUGAUCUCAGGGUCCUGGGAUU